rnacentral:rRNA from 1 species
GACGAACGCUGGCGGCGCGCCUAACACAUGCAAGUCGAACGAGCGAGAGAGAGCUUGCUUUCUCGAGCGAGUGGCGAACGGGUGAGUAACGCGUGAGGAACCUGCCUCAAAGAGGGGGACAACAGUUGGAAACGACUGCUAAUACCGCAUAAGCCCACGGUGCCGCAUGGCACAGAGGGAAAAGGAGCAAUCCGCUUUGAGAUGGCCUCGCGUCCGAUUAGCUAGUUGGUGAGGUAAUGGCCCACCAAGGCGACGAUCGGUAGCCGGACUGAGAGGUUGAACGACCACAUUGGGACUGAGACACGGCCCAGACUCCUACGGGAGGCAGCAGUGGGGAGUAUUGCACAAUGGGGGAAACCCUGAUGCAGCGACGCCGCGUGGAGGAAGAAGGUCUUCGGAUUGUAAACUCCUGUUGUUGGGGAAGAUAAUGACGGUACCCAACAAGGAAGUGACGGCUAACUACGUG